rnacentral:piRNA from 1 species
UGAAGUUAACAGCCCAAGACCAAGAAU